CCUGUUUAAGACAUUCACUGCCAGACAAAAAACGGCGCACUACCCCAGAAACCGGUCGUCUAUAGCUGCGUAUAAAACAACCCGCCCAGCGGGUUGUCCGGCAUCUGAGCAAAGUUCACGAACGCCCACCAGGUGGGUUCCUGGCAGUGAAUGUAUUAAUAUUGGUUCUAUUAGAAUUUGAAAUAGAGGCGAAUUGUCAAAGUAAAUUAUGUAUCCACAGUAAAUUUACUGCCAUCUUUCGACAGAAGAUUAAAACUGUUAGAACGCCA